UGAGACUCGCGCGCGCUCGUUCUUUCGAGAUUCAGGUCGCGGGCGUGUGCUGUCAGUUUUUGUCCUCGUUUUCCACACUUCAAGGAGCAGCGGGACUCCCAGAGGGGUUUCGAGGGAAGCCCGUACCCUGCAAGGCUGCUGGACAAGAGCCCUGGGCUGAGCUCGCCUUGGCCCUGAGAGUUCCAACGUCUCUUCCCGAGUUUCAGACCUUCAGCGCCCUGCAGGGCCGUCGUGAGCCGGCAGCAGAUCUUGAAUCUAAAUCAACCUCAAUCCAGAGGCCCAGCAGGCAGGAGGGCCUGGUGGUAAGGCAAGCGCUGUGUCUGUCUGAACUGCUUAGAAAUAAAGCAGCGGUGGUGAGUUUGUUAGGUAGGACUAGGGGCAUCCAGGCGGCAGGGGAGGCGACAAUGGGAGGGGCCAAGGGGUCAGAACCAGUAAAAUAGGAGAGAAACCAUAACAGCAGGAACUUGAGGAUAGGGACCUUUCCCGACAGGGGACAUGCACAGAUGCCAGGAAUUUAUGAUAAAAAGUAAACUUUGUCUCAUUAGCAUAGUAAAAAUCACAGUUCCUGGUGAUAGGCAGAGCAGUAGUUACUGAGCCCGGCCACUCCCGCCAUGAUUGCCCUACAUUAACUGCACGUGGCGGAAAGUCACCUGCCCAACCGGGAACAUAUCUGGCUAAACCACAGCGGUGAUGUGGAUCAGGAACUUUACGUCAGCCACCACCUGGCCUGGCCACAACAACUAUGGGUCAAGAGUUUGGUGUUCUACCCAGAAAUAACAGAGAACUGAACAGGGAAGGUGGGAGGGGGGUCAGCUCUCCCCCGCUUAUAAAAAUCCUCACAAAACCGCUUUCUGGGCUGACUCUCUUCGGAUUCAGCCCAGUCGCACUUGAGUGAAUAAACCAGCCCUGUUGCUGCCACGUAGCCUGUGUGUGAGAUCUGUCCUUUGGGUCAUUCCUCUUUCAUUUGGUGCCAAAACCUGGGAUGGCAGCCCCUUCUCCGGAAGGUCAGCUCCUGUCCUGACCCUUCAAGGACGCUUCUCACCGACAUCUGCCUCAGACCCAUCAGCCGGUGCGGCAGCAUCUCACCUCCUCGGAAUCUGGUCUCGGCUUUGCGUUAAGGUCAAUUCCUUUCACUUCCUCUUUUCCUUUCCUCACUGGGCCACCCCUUUUACCGUGUGUCUCAGACUCCGGUGUUUUUCAUGGCUUCCUCAAGGGAAGACGGUCUUCCCCUUUCUGUUUGACCAGUGGCGGGGCCGCGUCCCCACGCCUAACAGCGGUUUUUCAGCCCAGGAUCACAGGUGGGGAUGCCGCCUGUGUUUCCUCAGGGCUGCGCUGUGUGUGGUCCUUCUUUUCUUCUCAUCUUUUUCCUUCCCCCAAUAAUCGGAAAUUUACUGCUCUCUGUCCCCUUUUCUUGUUCUCUGGCCUGUGUUCUCUCCACUCUGAAGCCCCUCCGACUUUAUCCUGACCUUAAGCCCAAACAUCUCGUCUUUUGUAACAUAGCCUGGUCUUAACAUAAAUUAGAUAAUGUGUCACAGUGGGCCGAAAUUGGGACCUUUGGCCUCUAUUCUCCAAGAUCUUGAUAACUUUUGCCAACAUUCAGGCAAGUGAUCCUGAUCCAAGGUUCCGAUGUCCAGGCUUUCUUUGCUGUCCACUCACUGCCCUCCCUCUCUCACUGCCACCCUUCUCCGAUCUUCCUUUCUUCUGCCUGUCCUCCCUCAAUCAGACCCAGACCUGCUCAACCCUCAGAUCACGUAGCCCCCUCCACACGCUCCUCAACCUCCUCAUCCCCCUGCACCGACUCACUCCUCACACUCAGGUGCCUGAUUUGGUCCUAGUCAUCAACUCCCCCUUCACAGGGUUGCUGGGGCAGAAGGAAUCGUUUGCGUCCACGUUCCCUUUUCUCUCACGGACCUCUCCCAGGUUCGGCGCUUAGUUGUUCUCUCGGCAGAUUCCACUAAAUUUAUUCAAGAAUUUCAAGACCUUUGCCAAUCAUGAUCUCACGUGGCAUGAUCUUUCCAUCAUCCUCUCCUCUCAGUUCUGAUGAACGUGACUGAGUGUGGGCUAAUGCCCAGUCACACGCUGACGAUCUUGCCCUCCCUGAGGCCCCCCCACCCCAUGCCCUGCUGUUCCAGGAGGACCCCCAUUGGGAGUGUCAGCACAGUUCCCCAGAUCUCAGGCGCCGAGAUCACCAUUGCCUUUCUGAUAGAAGGACUAAAAAAGGCGGUGGCACAUAAAGCCAUCAGUUAUAACAAAUUAAGAGAAACAACCCAAACCCGAGAUGAGAAUCCUGCCCAAUUCUGGGAGCGAUUAGUUCUGGCCGUGCAGAAAUUCUCUGUGGACCCGGAGGGUCCCGGUGGCCAACUAAUUCUCAGAAUGCAUUUCAUUUCCCAGUCUGCUCCUGACAUUAAAAAGAAACCCCAAAAGCUAGACCUUGGCCCCCAGACCCCACAGUGGGAUCUUACAGAGGUGGCCUUUAAGGUCUUUUAACAACAGGGAGGAAGUGGCCUGUAAACAGAUUAACUGGACUCCAAAUGCUUCCCUUCGCCAUCAGACAACCCAAAACCAGGGGUGCCAAAAAGACUAUUAAGCCUCGUCCAGGAUUCCAGAGUCUGCCAGGCCCAUGUUUCAAAUGUGGCCAAAGUGGCCACUGCGCUAGGAAGUGUCCCCAGCCCGGAGCUCCGCCCUGGCCGUGCCCAGCCUGGGGAGGCCCUCACUGGAAGUCUGACUGCCCUGGACGCCCGAGUCACACAGAGGCAGCCCACAUCGAGGCUGAACUUAAGGGCCCGCAGCAGCUGUGUCCGGAUUUCCGCAGACUGGCGCCUGAAGACUGAUGGUGCCACGAAGCCCAGCAGGCCUGUGGACCAUCUCGGAUGCUGAGCCCCGGCACUCCUGUCCUGCCUGUCAGGAAGCCAAACGGAUUGUGCAGACUUGCCCAGGACCUCCAUCUCAUCAUCUCUGUAGUACAGCCCAUUCAUCAGUGGUUCCUGCCCUUACGCUGUUCUCUCGACCAUCCCACCCGAAACCGCUCACUACACAGUCCUCGAUGUCAAGGAUGCAUUUUUCUCCAUCCCUCUACACCUGUCUCGAGCUCUUCAGUAACGGACCUUUGAAUGCUGCUUUCCCUGGUGUGGGAUUUGUGGAGGGAAGUGGACACUAACCACCGAGGGUCCCGUGUGCCCCCCAUGGACCGCCGGGGUUUGAAGCUGCCACGGAUGACAGGGGAAUGGCAUUCCCUUCAACGGAUGAGACAGAUGCUUCAGAAAACACACCUUUAUUCACAAGGACUGGAAACAGGCUUGCAACGGAAAGCCCAGCUCGACAGCUGCAGCGCAAGGUGGGCGUGCGUGGCGAUCGCAGACCUGGGGCGGCUGGGCCUGCUGCCGUGGCCUGCAGAGCUGGAGCCCCGGUCGGCAGGCGGGGUUGGCAGUCCUACUUUCCUGACAUUUCAGUGAUUUCUCACAUGCUGUUCCCAGUAUCACAAAGCUACACGUGUCUUCCAAGGUCACAUGAGAAGACCCUGUUGAUGUUUGGUGAACCGGAGCCUCCUAUUGGGUGGGCUGGGAGCAAGUGGCUCCCAGGGCACACAAAUGCACAACGUGAUCAGCGGUGAAGGCCUCUGUCCCAGGCGUGGGCCAAAGUCCUUCCUCUGCCUGAGCUGCUGAGCGCAGGUGAAGACAUGGCUUUUCUGAGGGGUUAGGCUUUGAACACGUGGCGCCAGCCCGGGGCCCAGCCACAUCGCUGGGUGUGCCCAGGAGGGAGCAGCAGAGUGCCGUGGCCAGGUCUGCACUUGGUGCCACGCCCCCUCCCAUGCAGAAGACCUUUUUAACGUGACGGCCUUGAGGGCAAGCCAUUAAGGCCACGCCAGUGGAGGGAGGCUGUGGAGCCACACUGCCCCUCGGAAGCCUGGAGACAGACUGCUGCUGGGAGGAGAAGGGGCAAGGUUUGGCCUGGGGUCCUAGAAAUGGAUGCCAUGGGAUUGGCCACUGGGUGACAAGGUCAGAAGGCCUGUAGACCUGUCCAGCCUUCUGAGGCUGGGACUGAGCUCAGCCAGGUUCAGAGGCGGCAGCAGGAGUCCCCUCGGCCCUCCCUCUUCACGUAAUCAUGCAGCCGGAAGUGGGGCUCUCCGGGAGCCUUCAUGGAGCGCUGCUUCAACUCCCUACGGAGCAAGGGUGACAAAACAGCGUGGGCUCCUGUACCCCAACGAGAGGGUUCCGACCCUGGGCUUGGCCUUUCUGGUGACUCCUGGGACUUACUUUGCUAUGCCCGUGAAGGCCAAGUCCACGUUGAGGCCUGUCUUGGCACUGGUCUCCAUGAACGGCAGCCCAUACUCCUGCAAGCAGCCGCUGCCAGCCGGGUGAUGGCCUGGCGUGGUGGGGACAUCCCGGGCUCCACAGCCUCAGGGGCACCCUCCUCGCCACCCACCCUCCCCUGACUCACCUUGGCCAACUUCUCCCCGUCUUCCCUCUUCACCACAUGCUCGUGGGCAGAGUCCACCUGGCCCGGGCACAGAGGUCUUGAUGAUAGCCGGCCCGUGGCUUGCCACCUGCCCCCCCACCUUUGCUCGGUGGGGCUGGGGUGGGGAGGACAGGGCAGGCCUCCCACCUUGUUCCCCAGCAGCAUGAGCACCACGUUGUGCUGGGCAUACUCCUGGAUCUCGGUCAGCCAGGCCUGUAGGGGGAGAGGCUGGUGCCCCUGCACGCCCUGCCCGUGCCCCACAGCCUCUGCCUGUCUCCAGAAGGGCCCCCCGUGUGUCAGGCAGAGGCACCCCCCUUACCGACACCUUACCCAAGGAGACACUUCAAAAAGUUGGAUUGUCACCCGGGACCACCUUGGCCCAUACUCAACCUGAGCCACCUCCAUCCCAGAAGGGACCCUCACGCCCUGUGCCUGGAGGAGGUUGGGGGUGGGUCAGGCCCUACCAGGAAGGAGGCCACUGACCUGGAUGUUGUCAAAGGAGGCCUUGCUGGUGACAUCAUAGAGCAGCAGCAGUGCUGGGAGCAGAGGGGCAGUGAGGACAUCCCCUGUUGCCCACCCCCUCGUGCUCAGAUACCCCCUCCAAGCAGGGCACCCACAGACCACCGUCCCAACUCCCUGGGGGUCAGGCCAUGCAUCCGCGGGCUCACCAUGAGCGUCCCGAUAGUAGGCGUGCGUGACGCUGCGGAACCGCUCCUGGCCAGCUGUGUCCCAGAUCUGCAGCAACAGGCACCUGUCAGGCCGCCCAGCCUCUCCCUGAUGUCCCCUGCCCCCAGCUUGCCCUCCCAGACACCUCACCUGCAGCUUCACCUUCACGCCAUCCACGUCCAGAACUUUGUUCUGAAACAGAACCAGCCAGCUCCAGCGAGGGCCUAGCGCCAGCCUCUGGCCCGGCUCCCAAGGGUGGGGCGGGGAGAGUGGUGUGGAGCCAGCUCUGAGCUCAGGUCCGUUGAUAGGAGUCUGAGGGUCGGGGGCCCUGCCCCUGGCUAAGUCCCCAAAGUCAUUCUUGAGCUAUUGCUUGCCCACCCCCCCACACCACCUGCUUCUGUUCUGACCACCUUCCGUCCUGCCUGAAGGUCACACACCGCCUAAAACCCAAGUGCUCUUUGGGCCACCCAGCCCUCCUGGUGGCCCCAUGCACAGAGGGUGCCCAGGGCCCCUCCCUCUCAGAUGGCCACCCUGGUGAUGGACCAUGGCCAGUUAUCUCCAGUUCUGGGCCAGCAUGUUCCUCUGCCCACCUGGAGGCUCUCCUUCUCCUCCCUGUGCCCCAGGACCUCUGGAGCCCAGCCCCUUCCCCUGUCUCCCAGCCCAGCCCAGCCCUGGCUGCCCUCCUCGUCCCCGCCCCAGCCGGCUCCCCGGUGCCCACUUUCCAACCCCAGCACGCCCCUCCCCUGCGCCGAGUGCAGCCUCUGCCCACCCCCACGUCCUCGCUUGCUCUAUAUGUGCUGCUCCUGCUUGGAGCCACCCGCACAGAUUUGAAGUCACCCAUAGUAUGACCCCAGGCCUUUUGCUAACACUGCCUCAGUUUCCCCAUCUGCAAAUGGGGAUGACCAGGGUGCCAAUCACAUUGGCUGCUCCAGUAACUUAAUGAACUAUUAUAUGCAAAGCAUUGAGAA